rnacentral:rRNA from 1 species
AACGAACGCUGGCGGCAUGCCUAACACAUGCAAGUCGGACGAGACCUUCGGGUCUAGUGGCGCACGGGUGCGUAACGCGUGGGAAUCUGCCCUUAGGUUCGGAAUAACUCAGGGAAACUUGAGCUAAUACCGGAUAAUGACUUCGGUCCAAAGAUUUAUCGCCUAGGGAUGAGCCCGCGUAGGAUUAGCUUGUUGGUGAGGUAAAAGCUCACCAAGGCGACGAUCCUUAGCUGGUCNGAGAGGAUGAUCAGCCACACUGGGACUGAGACACGGCCCAGACUCCUACGGGAGGCAGCAGUGGGAUAUUGGACAAUGGGCGAAAGACCUGAUCCAGCAAUGCCGCGUGAGUG